rnacentral:rRNA from 1 species
UACGUAGGGUGCGAGCGUUAAUCGGAAUUACUGGGCGUAAAGCGUGCCCAGGCGGUUUUGUAAGCCAGAUGUGAAAUCCCCGGGCUUAACCUGGGAAUGGCAUUUGGGACUGCAAGGCUUGAGUGCGGCAGAGGAGACUGGAAUUCCUGGUGUAGCAGUGAAAUGCGUAGAUAUCAGGAGGAACACCGAUGGCGAAGGCAGGUCUCUGGGCUGACACUGACGCUCAUGCACGAAAGCGUGGGGAGCAAACAGG